rnacentral:rRNA from 1 species
CGUGGCAAUGAGAGUUGUGCUAAGGUAGCGUGAUAGGUUGUCUCUUAAUUGGAGAAUGGUAUGAAGGGUCUCACGUGGGGUUUCUUUUUUUAAUUAAUAAAAUGAAGUUUCUUUUUAAGUGAAAAAGCUUAAGUUUUUGUAAAAGACGAGAAGACCCUGUCGAGCUUGAUUAAAAUUAUUGAUUCUUAAAGUAUAUUUUGUUUUAAUAAUUUAAACUUUUAUUGGGGCAAUAUAGAUUUAAAUAACAGUCUAGUAUAAAAUUUAGAUCCUCUUUGAGAGAAAACAGCAAAAGCUACCGCAGGGAUAACAGCGUUAUCUUUCUUGAGAGAUCGAAUUGAGGGAAAGGUUUGCGACCUCGAUGUUGGAUUAU